CUUCCCCCUAACACCCACCCCACCCCCCAAUUCAUGAAUUACUAUCACUAUCCCCCUGAAAUCUGAACCCAAGGUCAAACUCACCCAACCAAAACCCUAAGUUCUCCCUGCAACGGUUCCGUUGCAGUGCUGUCGGCACCUCUACUUCCUCUCUUGUAGCUCGGCGUCCUCCUUCCCCCUGUCUCCGUCCUCCCUGGCUUCUCUCGAACUUGGAGCAGUUCGCCGCUGUGCCGCCACUCGUCGCUGUGUCGCCACUCGCUGUUGUCUCGCCGGUCACCGUCCAUGUCUCCGUCGAAGAAUUGAGAGGGAAAAUGGCAAUCUGAACCAGCAAAAGGAUUUUCGCAGCAUCAGCGUGUGCUCACAAUUGCAGGAAUAAGAAAACUAACUCUUUUUCUGCCCUUUAGACUUCUUGGAACAACG